UACGUAGGUGGCAAGCGUUGUCCGGGAUUAUUGGGCGUAAAGCGCGCGCAGGCGGUCCUUUAAGUCUGAUGUGAAAGCCCACGGCUCAACCGUGGAGGGUCGUUGGAAACUGGGGGACUUGAGUACAGAAGAGAAGAGUGGAAUUCCACGUGUAGCGGUGAAAUGCGUAGAGAUGUGGAGGAACACCAGUGGCGAAGGCGACUCUUUGGUCUGUAACUGACGCUGAGGCGCGAAAGCGUGGGGAGCAAACAGG
rnacentral:rRNA from 1 species